GAUGAACGCUGGCGGCGUGCCUAAUACAUGCAAGUCGAGCGAACAGAUGAGGAGCUUGCUCCUCUGACGUUAGCGGCGGACGGGUGAGUAACACGUGGAUAACCUACCUAUAAGACUGGGAUAACUUCGGGAAACCGGAGCUAAUACCGGAUAAUAUAUUGAACCGCAUGGUUCAAUAGUGAAAGACGGUUUUGCUGUCACUUAUAGAUGGAUCCGCGCCGCAUUAGCUAGUUGGUAAGGUAACGGCUUACCAAGGCAACGAUGCGUAGCCGACCUGAGAGGGUGGUCGGCCGCACUGGAGCUGGGACGCGGUCCAGACUCCUACGGGAGGCAGCAGUAGGGAAUCUUCCGCAAUAGGCGAGAGCCUGACAGAACAACGCCGCGUGAGUGAUGAAGGUCUUCGGAUCGUAAAACUCUGUUAUUAGGGAAGAACAAAUGUGUAAGUAACUAUGCACGUCUUGACGGUACCUAAUCAGAAAGCCACGGCUAACUACGUG
rnacentral:rRNA from 1 species